AACGCGAAGAACCUUACCAGGUCUUGACAUCCUUUGACCACUCUAGAGAUAGAGCUUCCCCUUCGGGGGCAAAGUGACAGGUGGUGCAUGGUUGUCGUCAGCUCGUGUCGUGAGAUGUUGGGUUAAGUCCCGCAACGAGCGCAACCCUUAUCCUUAGUAGCCAGCAUUUCGGAUGGGCACUCUGAGGAGACUGCCAGGGACAACCUGGAGGAAGGUGGGGAUGACGUCAGAUCAUCAUGCCCCUUAUGAUUUGGGCUACACACGUGCUACAAUGGCGUAAACAAAGGGAAGCGAAGGCGUGAGCCGGAGCGAAUCUCAAAAAUAACGUCUCAGUUCGGAUUGUAGUCUGCAACUCGACUACAUGAAGCUGGAAUCGCUAGUAAUCGCAGGUCAGCAUACUGCGGUGAAUACGUUCCCGGGUCUUGUACACACCG
rnacentral:rRNA from 1 species